UAGACGAGCAUUCAAACGAUGUCCUGUU
rnacentral:piRNA from 1 species